rnacentral:rRNA from 1 species
CAGUCGCCGCGGGAAUACAGAGGGUGCGAGCGUUAAUCGGAUUUACUGGGCGUAAAGCGUGCGCAGGCGGUGUUGUAAGACUGAUGUGAAAUCCCCGGGCUCAACCUGGGAACUGCAUUGGUGACUGCAACGCUGGAGUGCGGCAGAGGGGGAUGGAAUUCCGCGUGUAGCAGUGAAAUGCGUAGAUAUGCGGAGGAACACCGAUGGCGAAGGCAAUCCCCUGGGCCUGCACUGACGCUCAUGCACGAAAGCGUGGGGAGCAAACAGGAUUAGAUACCCGAGUAGUCCCUGUCUCUUAUAC